CAGUAGCCGCGGUAAAACGUAGGGUGCAAGCGUUAAUCGGAAUUACUGGGCGUAAAGCGUGCGCAGGCGGUUUGUUAAGACAGAUGUGAAAUCCCCGGGCUCAACCUGGGAACUGCAUUUGUGACUGGCAAGCUAGAGUAUGGCAGAGGGGGGUGGAAUUCCGCGUGUAGCAGUGAAAUGCGUAGAUAUGCGGAGGAACACCGAUGGCGAAGGCAGCCCCCUGGGCCAAUACUGACGCUCAUGCACGAAAGCGUGGGGAGCAAACAGGAUUAGAUACCCGUGUAGUCCCUGUCUCUUAUAC
rnacentral:rRNA from 1 species